rnacentral:tRNA from 1 species
CUGGUGGUCUUGUGGUUAGGACUUAGCGUUCUUACCGCUGUGGCCCGGGUUCAAUUCCUGGUCAG